GAAACAUUAGGGAUUUUUAUCUUGUGGGGGAGGAUGUUACAACCCGGUUAGUCCACUGUCUGCUUUGUCUUAUUUUUUUUCCUCUCUUCGUGUGUUUGUGUUUACAGGUGAUUGCUGGGCAGAUGAGUAAUUAGGAACACCAGCGUGCAGUUUUCCCAGUCUACUUUUUUCCUACAGAAAGGAGAAGAGGGUUGGAUUCUUUCCAGAUUUUGCUUCAGUGCUCCUCACCUCGUGACGUCAAAUCAAAUCACGCAUCGAAAACUUGAACGGCAGAAGCAGUAGAGGAUGUGUCAAGCAAGAAGCAGUUCAACACCUGGCCAUGGCCACACCUGAAAGGGCUUUUCGUGAUAAAGAAGAACAAUUGCUUGAUUGUGUCAUGAGCUUCAAAGUUCUGGCCACCAUUCACUUGCAUUGUAUGGACCUACAGAGCUGAGAUAUUCUUCUAAAAAUCUUCAUUUGUGUUCUGCAGAAGAAAGUCAUACACAUCUGGGAUGGUAUGAGGUCCUUGUGAUGGCGUAGUGACUCGCCUCAAUCCGGGUGGUGGAGGACUAAUCUCAGUUGCCUCCGCAUCUGAGAUGGUCAAUCCGUGCAUCUUAUCAUGUGGCUUGUUGAGCAAGCAAGCAAAGAGGCACUGAGUUUGAAGGCCACAGAGUCUACACAUCAGGAACCAUACUCACGUGCAAGUGAUCAACACCAACUUCCACAACAGAUGGUUUACCCAGAGAACCACAGGUCAGCAUUCUUGGAUGGUGUCGCUCUCUCCGUGGGUAAGUGUGUACAGGUGGUAGCUCAGGUUCAUCCUCUCCUGAUGCUUGCUCCACUGCUGUCUCUGGUUGUUCCUCGGGCUCCUCAGGUUCAUUCUCCACGUACUUCUUUGCUAAGGAUUCCGUUGUGCCUUCUUCAGUCCUCUGUUGCUGCGGUUCCCAUUGCUUCUCUACUUCUGGUGUGAAUGGUUCUGCUUCAGGGUUGAGAGUAACAGUUCUAUUGCACUGAUUCUGGUAGGAAGGAAACUGGAACUCACCAUCUUCUGAAUCCACACUUUCUGAUAUGUCACUUUUGCCAUUCUUUUGGUACUCUUUGUCUUUCUUUGAUUUUGUCCCUUUAACUUUCAUUUGCUUGAUCCAUUGUUCUCCAGGAGCAAACUAUCACAAGGGAGCUGGAGAUUUCAAUGUAGCACAUGAAUUUUACCACCUCCUUCAGGUAUAACUUCAUAAACUGGACUAUCAUCGCUCUUUCUCCUGAUAACAACAUGAACUCUGCUUUCCCAAUAGGAUUGAUUUUUGCCAGGUCCACCUCUUUCGGACAGAUUUCAGAUGAGUACUCAUCCACUGGGCUUAAGAUCUGCUCCAUAUAUUUUUCUGUCAUACCCCUGUUUACUUCUGGAAGUCUCUUUGGCGGCUGUAUUAGAUGCAAUGUCAUAGGCUUGUCGCAUUCUGGAUUGCCAAUUUUAAACUCUCUUGUUUUCAUGUUGGCUGCAGGUUGAAAAGGAGGUCUAUGUGAGCGGCCGUAAAGCAGGUAAAAAGGAGAAAACCCAGUGGCCUCACUGCAGGUACAGUUGUAAGCAUGAACCAUUUUUUCCAGUGAGGUUUUCCAGUCUGUUUUUCAGAGUCUGUGAGGGUGCGUAACAUGGACAAUAGAGUUCUGUUAAAGCGUUCUACCUGCCCAUUUCCUUGUGGGUGGUAACAGAUGGUAAGAGAAGCUUGAACACCACAACACUUCUGCAAUUGGUACAUUAACUGGUUUUCAAACUCACGGCCCAUGUCACGGUGAAUCUUUUCUGGAAACCCGAAACAUAGGGCGAAGUCAUUGAAAGUUUUCUCCAUAAAAGUUUUUGCCGAUUUAUUUUUAGUGCAUACGCCUGUGCAAAGCGUUUGUAGUGAUCUAUGAUGACCAGAAUAUACUCAAAUCCUUGUUUGCAGGUCUCUAGGUGUAAAAAGUCUAUAGAGACCAACUCAAAUGGGCGUGUGGUGACAAUGGGAAUGAGAAGGGCUCAGGUCGCUUUGUGUAGUUUCUUAUGCAUCAGGGUAGGGUUGCACCAGCUGUGCGUAAGGUCUCACAUAAGUUGGGACGUAAAGUUCACACCAAGGGCUUAGUAACUACUAGUUAGUUUGUAACUACGUCAGUGCUUAAUUUGGUUGCACCACCUGUUCUUAAGGCAAGACUUAACUAGUAGGUCGUAAGCUCUCCAUAAAGUAAUGCAUAGUUGCAUAAUAUGAUGUUUACCUGAAUUGAUCCAAUAAACAGCCUUCAAAUUUGUACACAGAAUUGUUAAAAAGCUGUGUAAUUCAGUUUGAUCUUGUUACAGUUGAUGUUCCGAUGUUGUUUGCUCAUGUAACUGUCAGCUGUAAUAAUUUAUAUCCCCAUUAAAAUACGAUACGUAAUAAAACUACAUUUGAUAAAUAGUAUAUUUGCCUUGUGUAAAUAACAAUAUAUAGGAACUGUAUCUAAAAUAAAUGAGGGGUGAUAAAUAAAUACUAAUACAACAGGCUGGAAAAACAGACAUUUAUUCAUUUUAAUAUCCUAUAUAUAUAUAUUUUGAAUGUGUUGAAAGUUGACAACGGGCGACGCACCCUGAAAACUGCACUGUUAGAUCAGUUUCACGCUGAAGAGCUGUUUAAAAGUAAGUUUUAUUUUCUCUCUCGUAAAUGUCAACAUCAUAAUGUAUGUCGAAAUGAUUGAUGCCUGUCACGCAAAAUAUGAGCUCAUUGAUGUCAUAAAAUAUCAGUCUGCUUUUUUAUUUCAAACCUAACUCCAGACCGGAGUCUUCCAUAAAUAAUUAGUUUAUACGUAGGGUUAUGUUCUACCUAAGUUUAAUGGUGCAACGCUCAAAUAUUUAGUAGUGCGUAAAUUGUGACUUAGUGCCCAUUUACAGCACAACUAGCCUAAGUUUUAACUUACGCACAACUGGUGCAACCGGCCCCAGGCACUCACAUUCGUUGGUGAUGAAGUGUUCUAUAUCUCUGCAUACGGGCCCAAUAAAACCUAUCAAAAAUCAGACUUAAUGUUCUUUCCACUCCCAAGUGUCCCAUCUCUUUGUGGAGUUCUUUGAACACCGUCUGGUGAUACUCUUUUGGCAGAACGAGUUGA